GCUAGUGUGGCAUAAUGGUUUGAGUGUUAAACUAUGACUCUAUAGGCCAGCGUUCGAAUUCCAGCUCAGCC